rnacentral:rRNA from 1 species
GACGAACCGUGCGAACGUUGUUCGGAAUCACUGGGCUUAAAGGGCGCGUAGGCGGGCUGUCAAGUCUGGGGUGAAAUGCCGCGGCUCAACCGUGGAACUGCCUUAGAUACUGACGGCCUCGAGGGAGGUAGGGGCGUGCGGAACUGUAGGUGGAGCGGUGAAAUGCGUUGAUAUCUACAGGAUCUCCGGUGGCGAAAGCGGCGCGCUGGACCUCUUCUGACGCUGAGGCGCGAAAGCUAGGGGAGCAAACGGG